AAUUAAUCAACCCACAUUUCACUUAACCAACUGUUAGUUAAAGUUGAUAUACAACACAUGACCAAAAAAAUAAAAAAAGUUGAAAUAGAACAAAUUAUUUCCCCUGCUCAUCCUAUAAAUACUACCUUGUCUAUCUGCAUUACCUAUCCUCCACAUUUGUAUUCACACAGAUAUAUACUAAUGGCUAGAAUUUGUUACUUGGCGAUACUGUUGGUGGUGACAGCCCAUAUCAUGGUCAAGAAAGGGGAGGCUUCUAUAUGCGAUGAACCUGCGGGUGCAACAAACAGGAGCCGAGUGCAAUAGUUUUACUGGAGGGCAUCAGCCGGAGCCAUCUGGUCAGUGCUGCGACGCGUAUAGAGCAGUGCGUUCGCAGCUCAAGACGAGGGCAGAAAGGAGGGAAUACUGUUCGUGCGCCCAUAGUGUGAUUGCUCAGUAUCCUGAUUCGGCUGCUCGUAUUCCACGAAUUGAUUCUCUCCCUGGAAAAUGUGGAGUUCCUUUUCUGUUUUCGGGUGAUCCUAAAUUUGACUGCAAUACCUUAAACUGAUGCACGAGUUGUAUUGAGUUGGAUCGAACAAUAAUGUUAUGGCUAAUUGUAUGAGCGUUAUUUAUAAAUAGGAUAUUGAAUAAAAUGAGUGUAACACUCCGAUGUGUAACUUAUAUUUUUUUCUGAUAAUAUCUAAGUAUGUUGACAUGUGUUGCUCGUAAUGCAAUAUACAUCUUGAUGUGUCGCUUAAUCAUUUUCAAA